rnacentral:lncRNA from 1 species
UGAGUUCAUACCAGGCAUAUGAUUAUAUUACAUUUUUUUCUUAUUUUAGCGUAUUAAAACCACUCCCCCACCCCUCAACUCCGAAGUUAUACCCAAAUAUUUGGAAACAUCUGUUAUACAUGGGAAUAAGAAAAAGGAUAAAAAGAUUCGAAAGGAAAGAAAGUUAGGGUCAUCACAGUCGUUGCCAUAAUAGCCAAUUUGCUUUAACGUACCAAUUGCCACUUCCUACGACGCACACACUCAAUUUCUCCGACAUGGUCUCUAACAAAUGAUUAAAUAACUCUUUUUUUCAAAA